CACUUGGUCACUCAGCAGCUUGCUCUCGGCAUGCAGCUCGCAUAUCUCAUCCUCACCGUCUUCCUGGGACAGCUCCUGGAAGUCACUCCAUCUCCCUCCGUCUACAGGCUGACCUCCAAAGAUGCCCAGGGCCUGGAGAUGUGCCUCAUCACAGAUUACUCCCCUGAGCAGCUCAAUGUGAGCUCAGCAGAGCAGCGCACAUCUGCUGUGGUGGGGGUGGCCACGGAUGGGGACAGCGAGGAGUCCAGCUACCUGUCCACCUACUGGGCCACGAGUGACCACCUGCACUGUGCUGCCAGCCACGAGGGCUUCGGAGAGCUGGAGGGAGAGGACCCUGAGAGUGGUGCCAGUGCUGUCUGUGUCACAGGGCUGUCCCUCCACUUCAGAACAGAUGAGCACUUGAACACCAUUUCUUUGUCACAGCUGGGCCUCAAAAUCGUUUUAAUGAAAGGAAUCAUUUUUAACGUGCUGAUGACAGUGCUUGUGUGGAAGAAGAAAAAGGACUGAGAGGAACCAGCUGGGGCAGUCCUGAAGUACCAAACCCAUCAGCUUUGAGAGAGCAUCGUGGGCAAGAGGGAGCUCAGGGAAAUUCCUUGUGCAAGGAACAUCCCCUGCUGCUCUUACACAUCACACCACCCAUGAUAUUCUAAAUUGCUUUAUUUGCAUUGCUACAAAACUGCUCAAAAUGAAACAUUUCCAGCGUUUUGCCCUCCAGAUGUCUGGGUCAUUCACCACACUGUGCCUGUUUUGCAUGAAGCAGACUUUGCUAUAAUUACUCAUUGCCAAGUUGUUACUUCUAUUAAAAUUAUAAUUUCUGCCUGGAGCAAUGCUGUGUGUUAAAAACUACAAGCUAAAUAUCAUCUGAAUGGGAAUUUUUCCUAUUUCGGUAGCUUUAGGAUGUUUAUAUCUCUUAGGGUGCACGCCCAGUAACCUUUUCAGGUGCAAAUGAAACACUUUGAAAAGAAAAGGGAAACUGAAUCUGGAUGUCCUGUCCUGUCACCUUUUGGUGGAUUAGAGCAAGAUAUCCCAUUUUUCCCCUAAAGGAUGAGCUGCAGUCUCCCAGAAAUUCCAAAUUCAGUGAAAUUGCCACUUCAAUGUCACAGAAGAAAUAUUUAAAAUGAUUUUUUAAAAGUUUAUCUGACCAUAACAUUUCUUAAUUUAAACCAGUUUAAGAUCUGGCUUUCUGUUCAAAAUACAAACCACUUUUGUAAAACUACAAACCACUUUUGUUGUUUUUGUUUGCUUCUAACAACCUGAGAUCUCCCAAGCUCUUUUUGUAACAAUUGCAUAAAAAUGUACUGAAAUAUUUACCUGUCCUUGUGUGCCCACCAUGGAUCUGUGCUUGCCUGUGGCAUCUGCAUGCUGCUAAUCCAUGGACUGUCCUGGCACCCACAGAUGUCUUGGCAUUUCUUUAGGCUGUCAUCAAACAAUUCUUAUUAAAAAAUAUAAAAUUG